ensembl:lncRNA
AAAGUAUAAUAGAUAUUGAAAAGAUAAAUACAAGUUGAAUAGUUGAAUGUCUUGUCUUCGUUUUAAAGUUUGAAUGGUGGCUCUAUGUCAAUGUAUGUGGAAGUAGAUACAGUUUAAAGAGGAUGAAGUUGAAUGAGAAUUUGAAGGGUCUCCCCAUUGAAAUACAUUAUAAAUUUUUGUUGAAAAAAGUUGAAUAAAAUUAAAAAUAUAAAUGUUAAAAAUGAGAAAAAUAGAAGCAAUGUUGUCCAAAAGAAUAGGAAUCUAACGGUGUUUGAAUGGUUUUUCUAAGUUGAACGGUUUUGAAGGAGUUGGCUUUCAAAAAACGUACGGAAUAGAUAAUAAUAAUAAAAUAUAACUAGAAAGUGCAUUUUCUGAAGAAACUGCAGUGUGAAUGCUUGAAUCUGAAUGUAUGCACUGAAAUGAAUUAAUUGCUGAAUUUUGAGUUAAAAAUAUUGAAUGAGAUUAAAAAAAAACAAAAAAACCCCCGAAUUUAACCUGAAAACAAAGGUGCUGAACUGCUAAAAGCUGAAGGUUACACAGAAGAAGGAGUUGGAAAAAAACUGAAAAUGUUUUAAAUGUAAAUUAGAAAACCCUAAGAAAUGAGAAAAGAACAUUUAGAGUCAGAAAACAUCUGAAUGAAUAUUAAAAGGUCAUAUUCUUUGAAUCACUGAAUGACUCAAAUGUGAUCCCUCCACUUUGAUCCACACAGUUUAAAAAGUUUAAAUGCCUGAGCUUUGAAAAACACGGUGUUGGAAAGAGAACAAUAAUGGGGACAAUUUGAGGGUAAAAUGAUGGCUAUAACACUGUGGACACAGCAGCAGUUGAAAGAGAAGUGCUUAAGAUGAAUCUUGGCACAGUGGCAGGCAGAGCUCGUUAAGCAGGCAGGUGUGAGCCUGGUUGCUAUAGUGACCGCACCCAAUGGCUCCAUACACACGUACACAGACAUGCGCCUCACUUUUGCUGCUUAAAAUGAACAGAAAAGUCAGGCCCAAACAAAUUCUUCCCAAAUGAAAAGUACAUGUCGUAUUGACAAAAUUCUUUCACCGUGAGCGACAGCCAUGUCUAGUCUACCUAAUUCUCAGUUUUCAUGCCUGUGGAGCUUAUUAUAUGGACGUGGUGACAGUGUAAAGACACCAUGCUCUUCUGAUUUUCAAACGAACCUUCUGAGCCAUUUUAACAUUAGAGUCUAUGGAAGAGUUGGAGGGAGGAGGCUGUGCAUUGGUGGCAUUUAUGAAAGAACCGUAACACCUAGGACAAUAGUAAACACAUUGGAUGAAAGAGGACAGCCAUGGCUACGUUUUGAGGGUAAAAUCAUACCUGUAGAGCAAACGCUGCGGACACAGCAGCAGUUUUAAAAAAGAUUUUAAGAUUAAUUUUUUUGCUCCUCUCACUCUAGCAGUUGAGCUGUCUCACUCUAGCCCCAACAUUCCGUCCCAUACACACCCAUUAUAAACUCUGAAACGGCUGAAAAAACAUCAUGAAACUUAAACUGGAACUGAAGAAAAAGUAUAAUAGAUAUUGAAAAGAUAAAUACAAGUUGAAUAGUUGAAUGUCUUGUCUUCGUUUUAAAGUUUGAAUGGUGGCUCUAUGUCAAUGUAUGUGGAAGUAGUAAGAGUUUAAAAAUGAGUAAGUUGAAUGAGAAUUUGAAGGGUCUCCCCAUUGAAAUACAUUAUAAAUUUUUGUUGAAUAAAGUUGAAUAAAAUUAAAAAUAUAAAUGUUAAAAAUAAGAAAAAUAGAAGCAAUGUUGUCCAAAAGAAUAGGAAUCUAACGAUGUUUGAAUGGUUUUUCUAAGUUGAACGGUUUUGAAGGAGUAGGCUUUCAAAAAACGUACGGAAAAAUAAUAAAAUAUAACUAGAAAGUGCAUUUUCUGAAGAAACUGCAGUGUGAAUGCUUGAAUCUGAAUGUAUGCACUGAAAUGAAUUAAUUGCUGAAUUUUGAGUUAAAAAUAUUGAAUGAGAUUAAAAAAAAAAACAAAAAAAACCCCGAAUUUAACCUGAAAACAAAGGUGCUGAACUGCUAAAAGCUGAAGGUUACACAGAAGAAGGAGUUGGAAAAAAACUGAAAAUGUUUUAAAUGUAAAUUAGAAAACCCUAAGAAAUGAGAAAAGAACAUUUAGAGUCAGAAAACAUCUGAAUGAAUAUUAAAAGGUCAUAUUCUUUGAAUCACUGAAUGACUCAAAUGUGAUCCCUCCACUUUGAUCCACACAGUUUAAAAAGUUUAAAUGCCUGAGCUUUGAAAGAUACGGUGUUGGAAAGAGAACAAUAAUGGCGACAAUUUGAGGGUAAAAUGAUGGCUGUAACACUGUGGACACAGCAGCAGUUGAAAGAGAAGUUCUUAAGAUGAAUCUUGGUACAGUGGCAGGCAGAGCUCGUUAAGCAGGCAGGUGUGAGCCUGGUUGCUAUAGUGACCGCACCCAAUGGCUCCAUACACACGUACACAGACAUGCGCCUCACUUUUGCUGCUUAAAAUGAACAGAAAAGUCAGGCCGAAACAAAUCGUUCCCAAAUGAAAAGUAAAAGUCGUAUUGACAAAAUUCUUUCACCGUGAGCGACAGCAGCUUCUAGUCUACUGAAUUCUCAGUUUUCAUGCCUGUGGAGUUUAUUAUAUGGACGUGGUGACAGUGGAAAGACACCAUGCUCUUCUGAUUUUCAAACGAACCUUCUGAGCCAUUUUAACAUUAGAGUCUAUGGAAGAGUUGGAGGGAGGAGGCUGUGCAUUGGUGACAUUUAUGAAAGAACCAUAACACCUAGUACAAUAGUAAACACAUUGGAUGAAAGAGGACAGCCAUGGCUACGUUUUGAGGGUAAAAUCAUACCUGUAGAGCAAACGCUGCGGACACAGCAGCAGUUUUAAAAAAGAUUUUAAGAUUAAUUUUUUUGCUCCUCUCACUCUAGCAGUUGAGCUGCCUCACUCUAGCCCCAACAUUCCGUCCC